UGACUCCCUCAUUUAAUCACAUACCGUAUCCUUUUUUAGCCUUACCCUGUUUCCGGUACUCGACCCACCCACUCACCCUAACCUCUUCGAUUCCCCUUCGCAUCACUUCUCUCCACAAUCACACAACCACCCCAAACCCGUCGGAAAACCUAACGCCACCGUCACCGUUACCGUAACCGUCGUUCUCCAUAUUCUCAUCAUCCUUGCUAUCGCUUUCGAGGAUCGCAGAUCCGACUCCUGGUUGUAGAUCCGAAUUAUUCGUCUCCGGUCAUCAAUUUCUCUCCCUACGCUUUAUAGAUAGUCAUUGGAUGACCUUGGAACUACAUUUGAGCAAUGACAUCAAGUAUGUUGGCUGGAGAACGGAGGUGGGCCUCUUCAAGAAGAGGCGGCAUGACUGUAUUGGGCAAAGUUGCUGUUCCUAAACCUAUUAAUUUACCUAGCCAGAAGUUAGAAAACCAUGGUCUGGAUCCAAAUGUGGAAAUUGUUCCCAAGGGUAGCCUUAGCUGGGGAAGUCGAUCAUCUUCAUCAGCAUCAAAUCCUUGGGGUUCAUCAUCAGCUUCUCCAAACACUGAUGGUAGUAGUACUGUUUCCCCACAUCAUCCUAGUGGUCGUCCUUCAUCAGGCGGUGGCCUUAGUCGGCCAUCCACCGCUGGCAGUGACAGACACGAGCCUUCUGCUACGUGGGGCCCAAAUUCUAGGCCGUCAUCAGCUUCUGGGGUGCUGGCAUCUAAUCAAUCGUCAUUAACAUCUUCACGCCCUCUCAGUGCAGAAACAAGACCAGGUAGCUCACAUUUAUCCCGUUUUGCUGAGCCUGUGUAUGAUAAUUCAGUAGCGUGGGGCCCUAAUGGUACUGUAGCAGAUAAGCUGUCAAUAUCCUCCAAAGUCAAUGAUUUUUCUCUCAGUUCUGGGGACUUUCCAACCCUGGGUUCAGAAAAAGAUAAUACUUCUAAGAGCAGUGAACCACAUGAUCAUGUUCGUCCAGGUUCAAGUUCUGGCAGAGGUGUACCUGCCAAAGAGAGAAAUGAGACGGCUCAAGCCGGUCACAAAAGUGGAACUAUUGAUACUUGGACAAGAGACGUUUCUCCAAAUUUUGAAGACGGGGUAGUCCACCCUAAUGCUGACAAGUGGCAGGGGGACCCACCGCAAUACUUCAAUUCUAAUGUUCCCCCUCAACAUUAUGAUGCCUGGCGUGGCCCACCAAUGAAUACACCUCCUGGUGUUUGGUAUAGAGGACCCCCGCCUGCUGGUCCACCAUAUCCACCUGUUCCUCAUGGUGGGUUUCCAAUGGAGCCUUUUCCUUACUAUCAUCGCCCUCAGAUCCCCCCUCCAUUGGCAAAUUCACAAUCGGGCCCUCCACCUGGGCCUGGCCCACGAGGUCAUCAUCCAAGAAAUGGAGACUUCUACAGACCUCAAAUGCCUGAUGCUUUUAUUCGUCCCGGUAUGCCAAUUAGGCCUGGGUUUUACCCUGGUCCGGUUCCUUAUGAUGGUUAUUUUGGUCCUCCGAUGGGCUACAAUCCCAAUGAGCGUGAUAUGCCAUUUAUGGGAAUGCCACCUGGACCAUGUGGGCCACCUGGACCACCUGUUUACAACAUGUGUCCACCUCAAAACCCUACAGAACUCAACGAUCCCCACUUUAGAGGUGGUGGGCGUGGGUCAGUUGGAAAUGCGUUUGUUUCGGAAAAGCAGGAUCCUAUUCCACCUGAGGAAUCUCGUGGGCCCUACAAAGUUCUUAGAAAACGUGAAAAUGAAAGGGAUGUUGAAAUGGAAGCAGACAAUUGGGAGCAGAAUAUAGAAAAGGGCCCACACAAGUCUAAAGCAUCCAAUGAGAGUUGGGGGAAUAAGUCAUCUAAUAUCGAAGAUCCAAAAGAUUUGAAUUUGAUACAUGAUGUUGAGGGUUUGAAUCCGAAAGUCCGUGCUUUGGAUAUUCAGGGGGACGCAGAACAAAAUAAUGACUUGUUAACUAACCCUACAAUUGCAUUCGGUAGCAUCUCCAUCACUGGAGAUCUUUCCCAUCACUAUGACAAAUCAAGGCAAGUGCAUCAUCAUAACAGAGGAAGAUCAAGUAAUCAAGAUACCGACGGGUGGCGAAAGAAACCUCCAAUUCUAGGUUUGGAAAUAUCCACACCAGAGAAUCCUGAAAUUAAGAAUACAGAAUCGACUCAAAUGGUUGAUCUUGCUGAUGGUCAAGCGCAGCGAGCUAAGAUGAGGGAGUUGGCAAAACAACGUGCAAUUGAACGACAGAAGGAAGAGGAAGAAAGAAUCAGAGAGCAGAAAGCAAAAGCGCUUGCAAAAUUGGAAGAGUUGAAUAGACGUACACUUGCAGCAGCAGACGGUACCGCCCAUACAGCAGAAAAAAACGCUACUAGUGUUCCUGAGCAAGUGGAUGUGGAUGGAUCCCAAAAACCUACUGGACUAACUAUUGAUGAUGGUAUAAAAGAGCCUGUUGACCAGAUCAGUGUGAACAGUCAACAAGAACCUGCUGACCAGUCUUUGCUUGUGAAACAAGGCGUUGCUAAUGCAACUGAUGCCGAAAGCAAAGCUGCGUCACUUGGUAAUGAUGGUGGCGUUCACAGGCAGAAGCGGGCUAUUCAUAAACAAAAGCCGAGUGUACAAACGGUAGAGGCUUUGGUUGACAAGUCAACUCUGAGCGGGACAGCCGACACAGUUAUAAAGAAUCCAGUAUUAGGUGAAGCUGUAUCAAGUCAGGAGCCAACUCUACCAACCAACUCAAAUAUCGUGUCUGAAUCAACUCAGCCGAAAAAGAGAACUAACAAGAGUAGCAAGAAUAAGCAUAAGGUUGACGAUGCCUCUGCAUCAAGAGAAGUUAAUCUCUCUAAGCCAGAAUCUCAAACGGAUUUAAAUCAACAUCCCAGCGCCGUAUCGAUGACUGAUAGCAAGGAUACUAAACAAUCUAAUCUAGAACAGGUUUCAUCUUUACCAAGUAACCAGUAUAAACCGCAGCACCCAAGAAGGAUGCCAAGAAACCCACAAGCUAAUAGAUUUCAUGUUGGUGAUGUUGCUGUGUGGGCCCCUGUGCGGGCCCAGAACAAAGAAGAGAGCGUGCAGGAUGAUGUGCCUUUGCCAGAUAAGAGCGUUACUCAUGGUCAGACUAAUCUCAAAAGCAAAAGGGCAGAAAUGGAAAGAUACGUCCCGAAGCCAGUGGCCAAAGAGCUGGACCAGCAGGGAAACGUUAACAAAUCACCAUCUUCACCGAAGAAAAGUAUGUCAGAAGAUGUGACAGGUUCUGUGGGGCCUACUGUUGAGGCAAAAAGUGGUGAUAAUAAGCAAACGAAGCAGGUGAAAUCUCAUGCAGCUGGGCGCCAACAGGAUGUGAAGAAAAGUCAUCACAAAUCUACAAGCCAACAUGAAGAAUCAUUAUCAAACCCUGUUCGGACUGAAACUAAUGUUACGCAUGAGUGGGACCCAUCUGAUGGCUGGUUUAUGCCUGACGAAUACCCAACAACUGGAGUUACAUCUGUCACUACUGCUGUGAAAGAUGAAGGUGGAGUGACGGGUAAAGAAAAAAGACCGGCUUACAAAGGUCAAAGGAGUGUGGUGAAAAACCACAAGGAUGUUAGUAGUGCAGAAAUGGAGGUUGACCAAACAGAUCGGCCAGCUUCUUCUAAAGAGAAUCAUUCUCACUGGCACCCCAAACCUCAACAGUAUAAAGGUGGUUGGUCUGGCGGUGGUCAAACUUCUAACUCAGAAGUCAAAAGGGAAUCUCGAAGAUAUUCUUCUAACGCACCAAACAUGGAAGAUGAAGCCCAAGUCCGCCAGUUUGAGCAGCCGCAUCAUGUUUCGACCGGUUUUAGAAAGUAUGGAGGUCAAAACAACCGAUCUGGCGGUCAAGAUGAUAAACCCAAGCAUAAUCAGCACAACGCAAAUACAAACAGGGAAAGGCAGAGGCAGAAUCUGCAUUACGAGUACCAGCCAGUUGGAUCAAACAACAAUACCAGUAAUGAUGGUGGAUCUGGCAAUGCAGGUUCACAGUACAAAGAAAGGAGUUCAGGUUCCGGUCAAUCCAGACGAGGCGGGGGUAGCUAUUAUGGACGGCAGUAGUCAGUCGCGUGGCGGCAGGUUAAAAGAAUUUAUAUGAGCUUCUUUUCUUUUUUGGUCAGAAAAUAGAUCCAUGGUAUCAGGUGCAUUGAUCAGGGCGAAUGAAAAACGUUGCAUUCACACGGGUGGUGGUUUGGUUUAGAAAAGACGUAUCUGUUCUGAAAGUUGUCUGACGGUAAAUUGUUGUUGUGAUGUGCACCCGUUCUUGAUAUUAGUCAAGUGGAAAACCUUGAAUCUGCUUGCCUAAACUAAAUAUUUGUUGGUGGAUAGAUUUGAGUUUUGAUAACGCCAACAGAUUUUUUCAAUGGUUCUCUGCUGUUUCUUGAUCACAUCAGUGAUGGUGUGAAUAUUAUGUGACACUAUGGUUACUUAAUGGUAUGCUUGAUUAGAACA